rnacentral:rRNA from 1 species
GAGUUUGAUCCUGGCUCAGGAUGAACGCUAGCGGCAGGCUUAAUACAUGCAAGUCGUGGGGCAGCAGGUCUGUAGCAAUACAGGCGCUGGCGACCGGCAAACGGGUGCGGAACUCGUACACAACCUUCCUUUAAGUGGGGAAUAGCCCGGGGAAACCCGGAUUAAUACCCCGUAAUAUAAUGAAGUGGCAUCGCUUUAUUAUUAUAGCUCCGGCGCUUGAAGAUGGGUGUGCGACUGAUUAGGCAGUUGGCGGGGUGACGGCCCACCAAACCUACGAUCAGUAACUGGUGUGAGAGCACGACCAGUCACACGGGCACUGAGACACGGGCCCGACUCCUACGGGAGGCAGCAGUAAGGAAUAUUGGUCAAUGGACGCAAGUCUGAACCAGCCAUGCCGCGUGGAGGAUGAAGGUCCUCUGGAUUGUAAACUUCUUUUAUCUGGGAAGAAAUCCACAAAUUCUUUUGUGGUUGACGGUACCAGAUGAAUAAGCACCGGCUAACUCCGUGCCAGCAGCCGCGGUAAUACGGAGGGUGCAAGCGUUAUCCGGAUUCACUGGGUUUAAAGGGUGCGUAGGUGGGUUGGUAAGUCAGUGGUGAAAUCUCCAGGCUUAACUUGGAAACUGCCAUUGAUACUAUCAAUCUUGAAUACCGUGGAGAUCAGCGGAAUAUGUCAUGUAGCGGUGAAAUGCUUA